rnacentral:rRNA from 1 species
UACGGAGGGUGCAAGCGUUAUCCGGAUUCACUGGGUUUAAAGGGUGCGUAGGUGGGCAAGUAAGUCAGUGGUGAAAUCUCCGGGCUUAACCCGGAAACUGCCAUUGAUACUAUCAGUCUUGAAUACCGUGGAGGUCAGCGGAAUAUGUCAUGUAGCGGUGAAAUGCUUAGAUAUGACAUAGAACACCAAUUGCGAAGGCAGCUUACUACACGAUCAUUGACACUGAGGCACGAAAGCGUGGGGAGCAAACAGG